rnacentral:rRNA from 1 species
CCUACUGGAGGCAUCAUUGAGGCAUCUUGGUCAAUGGGCGUAAGCCUGAACCAGCCAAGUCGCGUGAGGUCUUCCUUUUCUCUUUCUCUUCCCCCUCUUUUCUCCUUUCCUCCCGUGCGGGACGUGUCCCGUUUUGUAUGUACCUUAUGAAUAAGGAUCGGCUAACUCCGUGCCAGCAGCCGCGGUAAUACGGAGGAUCCGAGCGUUAUCCGGAUUUAUUGGGUUUAAAGGGUGCGUAGGCGGCCUUUUAAGUCAGCGGUGAAAGUCUGUGGCUCAACCAUAGAAUUGCCGUUGAAACUGGGAGGCUUGAGUAUGUUUGAGGCAGGCGGAAUGCGUGGUGUAGCGGUGAAAUGCUUAGAUAUCACGCAGAACCCCGAUUGCGAAGGCAGCCUGCCAAGCCAUGACUGACGCUGAUGCACGAAAGCGUGGGGAUCAAACAGGAUUAGAUACCCUGGUAGUC